rnacentral:rRNA from 1 species
GGAGUUAGCCGGUGCUUCUUCUGUGAGUGAUGUCCUUCCUGCCGGUUAUUGACCCGCAGGCCUUCUUCCUCACUGAAAGUGCUUUACAACCCGAAGGCCUUCUUCACACACGCGGCAUGGCUGGAUCAGGGUUGCCCCCAUUGUCCAAUAUUCCCCACUGCUGCCUCCCGUAGGAGUCUGGGCCGUGUCUCAGUCCCAGUGUGGCUGAUCAUCCUCUCAGACCAGCUACGGAUCGUCGCCUUGGUGAGCAGUUACCUCACCAACCAGCUAAUCCGACAUAGGCUCAUCCGAUAGCGCGAGGCCCGAAGGUCCCCCGCUUUCCCCCGUAGGGCGUAUGCGGUAUUAGCCUGGGUUUCCCCAGGUUAUCCCCCACUACCGGGCAGAUUCCUAUGCAUUACUCACCCGUCCGCCGCUCGCCACCAGGGAGCAAGCUCCCCGUGCUGCCGCUCGACUUGCAUGUGUUAGGCCUGCCGCCAGCGUUCAAUCUGAGCCAGGAUCAAACUCUGA